ensembl:lncRNA
GACCACAAGGGGGCACUUGGCAUUUAGGCAAGUGCAGGGAGCCUUUCCUCGCCGGUGCUGACGCUUUUACACGAUCCAAGUGCGUGUCGCAUCGAGAAAUACGCUGUGCUAAUAAUAUUGAGGGUUCCUUAAAGAACUUUCUUAAACAGUUAGAAGAAGAGAAGAAAAGUCUCCAGAACCAGUUAAAGGACUAUGAACUUAGACUGGAACAAGAAGCAAAGGCUUACCACAAAGUUAAUGAUGAAUGGCGCUUGUACCUCUCGUAGAUCUUACAGACCUCACCUAAACCUAAAACUGUUGAAAGGAAAAAAACCAGAUGCUCUGACCUGCAAGGGAGAAGAACAGAUACUGAGUGCAAAACCACUUCAAAACAAUGAAAGGACUCAGGCAUCUGAUGGCUGGGCUUCCAUCACCACCAGCCUGUGUCAUGUCACAGAGAUAUUCCUGACAGAUGUGGACCCUUCAGGAUCUGUAUUGAAUUAUGCUUCUUCACUGCUGAGUGUCAACACACCAGGUCUGUUCAUCAUGCACAAGAAGACAGUCUAAGAGAAAGAGUUGGGGUUGUUCAGCCUGGACAAGAGAAGGCUCUGGGGAGACCUUAUAGCAGCCUUCCAGGACAUAAAAGGCACCUGCAAGAGAGCAGGAGAGAGACUUUUCACAAGUGGAUAUAGUGAUAGAAGAGAAGAGGUAAUGGUUUUAAACUGUCAAAUGGUAGAUUCAGGUAUUAGGAGGAAAUUUUUUACUUUGAGGGUGGUGAGACGCUGCCACUGGUUGCACAUAGAAGCUGUGGGUGCCCCAUCCCUGGAAGUCUUCAAGCCCAGGCUGGAUCAACUUGAGGCUUUGAUGAACUUGGUCUAGAGAAGCUGUCCCUGCCCAUGGCAGGGGCGUUGGAAUGAGAUGAUCUUUAAGGUCCCUUCCAACCCAAGGCAUUCUAGGAUUCUAUGAUUCCAUGAUGUUGGCAAGUGUAUAACCUAUCCCUAGUCAGGAGCAAUUUUUCUUAAUCUUAUAAUAGCCUGGGUCAUUGUUCUUCUGAGACCUGUUUUUGUGCUGUACAUGUGAUCAAGGUCUGUCAUAGAUGCUGCCUCAGACCAAGUCCUUUGGCACCCUGCUCUGAUUUACCUGGAAGCAUUCCCACAAGCAACCCUGACAGUUUUAUAUUUAUGUUGUGAAGUGCUUUGGGCUCCAGAAACCAGGGCCAGACUUCUGUCCUAGGAUUAUGUAUCACCUUCUCUAAUGACCUGGAAAACACACCAGAAUACAGCGCUCAGAAACUCAGUAGAAACAACCACACAACAGCCACUGAGGGAGAAUUUUCACUCAUCCCAGCUGCUAAAGGGGCUUUGUGCCAACAAGAGAGGCAAUGCAAGACUGCAGCAAGCUACUAUCAAUACCCUUGUCAAAGAAAUGUUGAUAGCUUGCAUUGCUACUUCACGAGUCUCAAACCAGAAUUAAGUGACCUUCAGGUUUCCAUUCACAAACAAAAUGGAAUAAUAAAAUGUAAAGAUGCUUUGAGCAUGGAUUUGGCUUUCACUUGUCCUGAGGAUCUUGCUGAAGACCUUAGCUGGGCUGGUUUACAGGCAGUGUGUGACUGUGAUUUAUGUUUUUUUUACACAAGUGCCCAUCUUCCUCUCAGGUCAUCCACCUAGUCUGCAGCUGAGAUCCAUGGAGAUACAGAAAAAGGAGUAAAGCAGCUGCAGUUUAAAAGAC